CAACCUGCCGCUUACUCGGGGAUAGCCUUUCGAAAGAAAGAUUAAUACCCGAUGGUAUAAAGAGUUCGCAUGUUCUCUUUAUUAAAGAAUUUCGGUAAGCGAUGGGGAUGCGUUCCAUUAGAUUGUUGGCGGGGUAACGGCCCACCAAGUCUACGAUGGAUAGGGGUUCUGAGAGGAAGGUCCCCCACAUUGGAACUGAGACACGGUCCAAACUCCUACGGGAGGCAGCAGUGAGGAAUAUUGGUCAAUGGACGAGAGUCUGAACCAGCCAAGUAGCGUGAAGGAUGACUGCCCUAUGGGUUGUAAACUUCUUUUAUAAAGGAAUAAAGUCGGGUAUGGAUACCCGUUUGCAUGUACUUUAUGAAUAAGGAUCGGCUUACUCCGUGCCAGCAGCCGCGGUAAUACGGAGGAUCCGAGCGUUAUCCGGAUUUAUUGGGUUUAAAGGGAGCGUAGAUGGAUGUUUAAGUCAGUUGUGAAAGUUUGCGGCUCAACCGUAAAAUUGCAGUUGAUACUGGAUAUCUUGAGUGCAGUUGAGGCAGGCGGAAUUCGUGGUGUAGCGGUGAAAUGCUUAGAUAUCACGAAGAACUCCGAUUG
rnacentral:rRNA from 1 species